UAAAACAUAAACACGUUCAAAAAACUUGUCGUGUCUUUAAAAAAGAACAGUCGACGUAAAUAAUAUAAUUAAUUAUUAUUCUUACAUUAUUAAUCUAUUAUAUUCAAAUUAAUAAACUGAUUUGAGUGCUAAUUAAAUCGCUCGUAGCAAGGAUAUUAAGAUGAGAACCUAAAUAGCUACAUUAGUCGCUGUUCUGUUGACAUUCUAACCUAAUUUCAUUUGUCAAAAUAUAUAAAUUGAAUGUAUUCACAAUAAGACCGCAAUGUACACAAAAAAAGUCAGAUGGUGAUCAAUAGAUGUUUUUUCUAAAUGUACGUUAAUUUUUACAUUGAUCAUUAUUAAUUCUAAAUCAUGAAUUUAAUAUGAUUUACUUAAUGAACAAGUUUGAAUCCUAAUUAAAUUGCUAGUAACAAUAUUAUAAUUAAGAUGAGAACCGGAAAAGCAACAGAAGCCACAGUUCUGUCAAUGAUCUAACCAAAUUUUAUUCGUGCACUAAAAUAAACUGAACUUAUUCAAAAAAUGACAGGAGUAAGAAUGUGAAAAAAUGUAUCCUUAAUCAAUGGAUAUUUGUUUCAAAUGUACAUCAAUUUGUACGUUGCCCACCAAAUUGACGGAAUUUCUACCUAUGGCACAAGAAAGAGGGUAAUAACUAAUGAAUUAAGGAAGCUAAAAUUUUAUUGUGAUUUCGAUUAUCAGUGGAUUUCAACGAUGAAAACUCUCUUUCUGAUGUCUUGACUGGAAGGAAGGAUGGAAGCAAACAACACUGACUUACCUCGACGGACUGCUAGCUGUCAUCCUACCAGCUGAUCAUCUGGCAUCGUUCGGCAGGGAAAUAAAGUUAUUUCCCUGUUGAGGUUUGUUAAUGUUUAGGUAUAUGAUUUGGAUGAUUUUUUUCCUAUAUAAUUUAUGACGUGUCUAAUCAAGAGUCCAAUGGAAUCUAUUGACAUGACUGGCCUACCAGGACCAGAAUAAUUUUGAGGACAGUGAUGUUGCUGAACAUCAAGGACAAGGUGAUGCAGAUCCAAGGACACACCGCUGCUUUAAUUUUUUUUUCUGUUUCAGAUCCAGUCAAGAAGAAUAAGGAUAUCCAUGGCUGCCAAGGAAUACCGAGACCAGGAGAAGGAGGACCAGGACCAAGAAGAAGAUGAAUUAUUUAUUUAAUUAUUUAUUUUUAUUAUUUAUUAUAUAUUUUUAUUUUUUUAUUUAAUUUUAGCCAAAUUGUAAUUAGUUUUAAAUACUUAUUUUGUUAAGGUGUGAGUGUGAUGGAUGCUGUAAGAAUGAUUUAUAAUUUAUUAAUUUAAUUUAUAUUUUUAUUUUGUAAGAAUGUGUACGAGUGGCAUGUUUUUAUUGCAUGGCUUGUGCUUGCUUGUUUUUUUUUUAUUUUUUUCGGGUUUGAUCGCAUGGUUUUGUUUGUUUAUAUUUAAUUUAAUUUUAUUCCUCAUUCUUCCCUUCCCUUUUAAUUUUAAGUGUGUUUUUUUUAUUCGGGUUUGACUGCAUGGUUUGGUUUGCUUUUAUUUAAUUUACUUUUUCCUUUUUUUAUUCCCGUUCCCUCUUAAUUUUAAGUCUGUUUCAUUAUUAUUAAAUUUAAAUUUAAGAGUGUAAUCAGUGUGUGUGUGAUUUUGUUUAUUGGGAUUUCCAGGCACGGAUACUAAUAGUAAGUUUUAAUUUUAAGAAAUUUUUAUUUAAUUUUAUAUUUAUAUAUAUUGAAUUGUAUUUUUUAUGUAUUUAUUUUAUAAUUGUUUAAUGUAUAAUAUUUUGUAUUUGUAUUUUAUUUAGCUUUUUUUUGGUCACCAAUCGAGUGAUCACUGUGUUGGUCGGGUUUUUUCACUGGUAAAAACCUCCGAUAUAAACCGAUAGAUUCCGGGUCUAUCGGAUUUUUAUCGGAGUAUUUUAUCGGUGUCGAGGUUUCCCAAACGGGCUAUUUUCUUUCUUCCAAAAGAAAAUAGCUUAGACCAGUACAAUUGUAUUUUUAAACAAAUACAAUUGUAGGUGAAUGCGCACAGUAUAGGAAGUCGGU